AUUGAACGCUAGCGGGAUGCUUUACACAUGCAAGUCGAACGAGUGGCGGACGGGUGAGUAAUAUAUCGGAACGUGCCCAGUAGAGGGGGAUAACUACUCGAAACAGUGGCUAAUACCGCAUACUAUUGGAUCGGCCGAGAUGGGAUUAGCUAGUGGGUGGGGUAAUGGCUCACCAAGGCGACGAUCCCUAGCUGGUCUGAGAGGAUGAUCAGCCACACUGGGACUGAGACACGGCCCAGACUCCUACGGGAGGCAGCAGUGGGGAAUAUUGCACAAUGGGCGCAAGCCUGAUGCAGCCAUGCCGCGUGUAUGAAGAAGGCCAGAGGGUUGUAAAGUACUUUCAGUCGGGAGGCGUUACCGACAGAAGAAGCACCGGCUAACUCCGUGCCAGCAGCCGCGGUAAUAC
rnacentral:rRNA from 1 species